rnacentral:lncRNA from 1 species
UAUCAAUGAAUAGAAUCAGUAUUUUCUUUCUUCCCCAAUUCUCUUCUCCUCUACACUCUUUUUCCCCAAACCCUCCUCUAUCUCUAAUCCCUCAAUCUCUAUCUCUCUAUCUAUAUCUCUAUAUUUAUCUUUAUCUCUUCUUCUCUUACCUCUUCUAGCCUCGGUUGCCUCGAAAUCGCGAUCGGGAGUCACCAUCAUCCUCGUUGCCGUUCACGCAUUGGCAAGUUCUUGUCAUCGGCGGGUUGCGACGAGUCUAGGGCGUUAC